rnacentral:tRNA from 1 species
GCCGGGAUGGCGGAAUCGGUAGACGCGCCGGACUUAAAAUCCUGUGGACCGUAAGGUCCGUGCGGGUUCGAUUCCCGCUCCUGGUA